CUGCUUCUGGGGUCCAUGUAAUUUUGCCAUGAGCUGUCAAUUUUUUGCCAUGGACUGUAGCUGAGAGGGGUGCCUCUCGCUCUGAAUAAUUAGGGAUCCUGCAAUUCGUUUGGGAGAGAGGGAUUUGCCCUCUGCUGUGAUCACAUGUCCCAGGCUCAGCUGCUGAUGAAAAUACGUUGGACUUUCCAAGUACCCUUAUGCACAUCUGGUCCAGGUGUAGCUACACCCCUGAAAGGUGAAUGCAAACCAAUAUUGACUUUCAGGAUGGACGGGUACGGAGAAAAAUGCAUUGGCCAAAUCAACAACCGGAAAAUGAGUUGCGUCUGGUGGGAUGAGAUACAGAAUGGUAUGUGGGUUAGAAACUUCAGGCGUGCGCGGAUGCACUGCAGCAUUUACUGCUUGCAGUAGUGAGGCGCGCCAGGAAUACGCCCACAGCCUCGUCUGAGCCCUGAUUCAUCAGUUCCAGAGCGGUCAUGUCUUGUGGAACUGGGAACGCGGUCUGAAUCUCUGUGCAGAGUGCUGUUAUUGAGUCCUGAUAUCCUUGGUUGUCAUCAUCAUCCCAUGUUGGAUUUUCCAUACGCAGGGGCAUUCUGGCUUCAGUGAAAUAGCCCCUGAUUCUGUGAGAAUGAGUCCCAACAAUGUUCCUAUAAUCUGCUCAGACUGAACUGCCAUUGUAUUAUUACUCCAAUCAGUUUGACGUUAUCUUAUUUUUGGCUAUUGAAGGUAUUAUUUUAUUUAGCCCUGACCAAUCAGAGACUGACAGUUGCAGGUGCUCUACAUUACUUUCCAUCAAAGCUGAUACUGUGAUAGCCAGACAUGAGGGUAACAUUUUUCUGGUUGGGCGGCUGUGGCUUAGAAGAAGAGUGGGUCAUCCACUAAUCGGAAGGUUGUUGAUUUGAUCCCCGGCUCCUCCCUCCACAUGUCAACGUGUCCUUGAGCAAGAACUUCCCUCAGUGUCUCUCCUCCAGAAGACUCCCUCCUCUCCAGUCAGCUGCCAUGCUACAGGUUUCUACCCUGACAGUGCCACACUCAUCUGGAGGAAAGAUGGAGAGGAGAUUCAUGAA